UACGAAGGGGGCUAGCGUUGCUCGGAAUCACUGGGCGUAAAGCGCACGUAGGCGGCUUUCUAAGUCAGGGGUGAAAUCCUGGAGCUCAACUCCAGAACUGCCUUUGAUGCUGGAGAGCUAGAGUCCGGAAGAGGUGAGUGGAACUGCGAGUGUAGAGGUGAAAUUCGUAGAUAUUCGCAAGAACACCAGUGGCGAAGGCGGCUCACUGGUCCGGUACUGACGCUGAGGUGCGAAAGCGUGGGGAGCGAACAGG
rnacentral:rRNA from 1 species